rnacentral:rRNA from 1 species
UACGUAGGGUGCAAGCGUUAAUCGGAAUUACUGGGCGUAAAGCGUGCGCAGGCGGUUUUGUAAGACAGAUGUGAAAUCCCCGGGCUCAACCUGGGAACUGCGUUUGUGACUGCAAGACUUGAGUGCGGCAGAGGGGGGUAGAAUUCCACGUGUAGCAGUGAAAUGCGUAGAGAUGUGGAGGAAUACCGAUGGCGAAGGCAGCCCCCUGGGUCGACACUGACGCUCAUGCACGAAAGCGUGGGGAGCAAACAGG